UACGAAGGGGGCUAGCGUUGUCCGGAAUUAUUGGGCGUAAAGCGCGCGCAGGCGGCCUCCUAAGUCCGAUGUGAAAGCCCACGGCUCAACCGUGGAGGGUCAUUGGAAACUGGGGGACUUGAGUACAGAAGAGGAAAGCGGAAAUUCCACGUGUAGCGGUGAAAUGCGUAGAGAUGUGGAGGAACACCAGUGGCGAAGGCGCUUUCUGGUCUGUAACUGACGCUGAGGCGCGAAAGCGUGGGGAGCAAACAGG
rnacentral:rRNA from 1 species